CUCAGACUGAAAACUGCUAACCCAGAUCAAGACCAGCACCAAAGAUCCUUUCAAGAAUGAUGAAAACUUUAAUGAUUGCUUUAUUUGCGUUACUUUCCUUCCAUACCUUGGCAUCCUGUUUCCUUUCUAACAAAGCAGAUGCACAGAACUUUUCUACGACCCUGGUCAUAAUCUCGCCAGUGCUGGCAAGUCUUUCCAACAACACCAAUCUGGCAAAAGCAUCUAACCAGACACAGG